rnacentral:tRNA from 1 species
GGGCCUGUAGCGUAAUCCGGUAGCGCAUUCCCAUGGCAUGGGAGGAGUCCGGGUUCAAACCCACGACAUAGCUGUAUAGUGUAGUGGCUUGAAAGUCCCGGCAGGUCCA